rnacentral:rRNA from 1 species
CCUACGGGUGGCAGCAGUGAGGAAUAUUGGUCAAUGGGCGCGAGCCUGAACCAGCCAAGUAGCGUGAAGGAUGACUGCCCUACGGGUUGUAAACUUCUUUUAUAAAGGACUAAAGUGAGGCACGUGUGCCUUUUUGUAUGUAAUUUAUGAAUAAGGAUCGGCUAACUCCGUGACAGCAGCCGCGGUAAUACGUAGGAGGCAAGCGUUAUCCGGAAUGACUGGGCGUAAAGGGUGCGUAGGUGGUUUGACAAGUUAGUAGCGAAACUCCGGAGCUCAACUUCGGAACUAAUACUAAAACUGUUGGACUUGAGUGCAGGAGGGGCAAGCGGAAUUCCUAGUGUAGCGGUGGAAUGCGUAGAUAUGAGGAGGAACACCAGUGGCGAAGGCGGAUUGCUAGACUGUAACUGACACUGAGGCACGAAAGCGUGGGUAGCAAACAGGAUUAGAUACCCGAGUAGUC